GACGUAGGGCGCAAGCGUUGUCCGGAAUCAUUGGGCGUAAAGCGCGUGUAGGCGGUCCGGUAAGUCCGCUGUGAAAGUCGGGGGCUCAACCCUCGGAUGCCGGUGGAUACUGUCGGGCUUGAGUACGGAAGAGGCGAGUGGAAUUCCUGGUGUAGCGGUGAAAUGCGCAGAUAUCAGGAGGAACACCAAUUGCGAAGGCAGCUCGCUGGGACGUUACUGACGCUGAGACGCGAAAGCGUGGGGAGCAAACAGG
rnacentral:rRNA from 1 species